UCCUCAGUAGCUCAGUGGUAGAG
rnacentral:siRNA from 1 species